GACGAACGCUGGCGGCGUGCUUAACACAUGCAAGUCGAACGAUGAUCAGGAGCUUGCUCCUGUGAUUAGUGGCGAACGGGUGAGUAACACGUGAGUAACCUGCCCCUGACUCUGGGAUAAGCGCUGGAAACGACGUCUAAUACUGGAUACGACUGCCGGCCGCAUGGUCUGGUGGUGGAAAGAUUUUUUGGUUGGGGAUGGACUCGCGGCCUAUCAGCUUGUUGGUGAGGUAAUGGCUCACCAAGGCGACGACGGAUAGCCGGCCUGAGAGGGUGACCGGCCACACUGGGACUGAGACACGGCCCAGACUCCUACGGGAGGCAGCAGUGGGGAAUAUUGCACAAUGGGCGAAAGCCUGAUGCAGCAACGCCGCGUGAGGGAUGACGGCCUUCGGGUUGUAAACCUCUUUUAGUAGGGAAGAAGCGAAAGUGACGGUACCUGCAGAUAAAGCACCGGCUAACUACGUGCCAGCAGCCGCUGUAA
rnacentral:rRNA from 1 species